UGCAAGUCGAACGGCAGCACGGGGGCAACCCUGGUGGCGAGUGGCGAACGGGUGAGUAAAACAUCGGAACGUGUCCUGUAGUGGGGGAUAGCCCGGCGAAAGCCGGAUUAAUACCGCAUACGCUCUGCGGAGGAAAGCGGGGGAUCUUCGGACCUCGCGCUACAGGGGCGGCCGAUGGCAGAUUAGCUGGUUGGUGGGGUAAAGGCCUACCAAGGCGACGAUCUGUAGCUGGUCUGAGAGGACGACCAGCCACACUGGGACUGAGACACGGCCCAGACUCCUACGGGAGGCAGCAGUGGGGAAUUUUGGACAAUGGGGGCAACCCUGAUCCAGCAAUGCCGCGUGUGUGAAGAAGGCCUUCGGGUUGUAAAGCACUUUUGUCCGGAAAGAAAACCUCUGCCCUAAUACGGUGGGGGGAUGACGGUACCGGAAGAAUA
rnacentral:rRNA from 1 species